UGGGGAAUUUUGGACAAUGGGCGAAAGCCUGAUCCAGCAAUGCCGCGUGCAGGAUGAAGGCCCUCGGGUUGUAAACUGCUUUUGUACGGAACGAAAAGCCUGGGGCUAAUAUCCCCGGGUCAUGACGGUACCGUAAGAAUAAGCACCGGCUAACUACGUGCCAGCAGCCGCGGUAAUACGUAGGGUGCAAGCGUUAAUCGGAAUUACUGGGCGUAAAGCGUGCGCAGGCGGUUUUGUAAGACAGUGGUGAAAUCCCCGGGCUCAACCUGGGAACUGCCAUUGUGAAUGCAAGGCUAGAGGGCGGCAGAGGGGGAUGGAAUUCCGCGUGUAGCAGUGAAAUGCGUAGAUAUGCGGAGGAACACCGAUGGCGAAGGCAAUCCCCUGGGCCUGCACUGACGCUCAUGCACGAAAGCGUGGGGAGCAAACAGG
rnacentral:rRNA from 1 species